rnacentral:rRNA from 1 species
UACGUAGGGGGCAAGCGUUGUCCGGAAUUAUUGGGCGUAAAGCGCGCGCAGGCGGUUUUUUAAGUCUGGUGUAUAAACCUGAGGCUCACCCUUGGGACGCAUUGGAAACUGGGGAACUGGAGUGUAGGAGAGGAAAGUGGAAUUCCACGUGUAGCGGUGAAAUGCGUAGAUAUGUGGAGGAACACCAGUGGCGAAGGCGACUUUCUGGCCUAUAACUGACGCUGAGGAGCGAAAGCCAGGGGAGCAAACGGG